rnacentral:rRNA from 1 species
GAUGAACGCUGGCGGCGUGCCUAAUACAUGCAAGUCGAGCGAACGGACGAGGAGCUUGCUUCUCUGAUGUUAGCGGCGGACGUGUGAGUAACACGUGGAUAACCUACCUAUAAGACUGGGAUAACUUCGGGAAACCGGAGCUAAUACCGGAUAAUCUUUUGCACCGCAUGGUUCAAAAGUGAAAGACGGUCUUGCUGUCACUUAUAGAUGGAUCCGCGCUGCAUUAGGUAGUUGGUCAGGUAACGGCUUACCAGGGCAACGAUGCAUAUCCGACCUGAGAGGGUGAUCGGCGACACUGGAACGGAGACACGGUCCAGACGACUACGGGAGGCAGCAGUAGGGAAUCGGCCGCAAUGGGCGAAAGCCUGACGGAGCAACGCGGCGUGAGUGAUGAAGGUCUUCGGAUCGUAAAACUCUGUUACUAGUGAUGAACAUAUGUGGAAGUAACUGUGCACAGCUUGACGGUACCUAAUCAGAAAGCCACGGCUAACUACGUG